UACAUUAGCAUGGGAUAAUGGAAUAGGACCCUGUCCUCCUAUUUUCAGUUGGUUUGCCGCGAGGACCAGGGUAAUGAUUAAUAGGGAUAGUUGGGGGCAUUAAUAUUUAAUUGUCAGAGGUGAAAUUCUUGGAUUUAUGAAAGAUUAACUUCUGCGAAAGCAUCUGCCAAGGAUGUUUUCAUUAAUCAAGAACGAAAGUUAGGGGAUCGAAGACGAUCAGAUACCGUCGUAGUCUUAACCAUAAACGAUGCCGACCAGCGAUUAGGAGACGUUGAAUACAAAACACCACCAUGCGCAUUGCGGUCGUCUUUGGUGUCGCUCACAAGGCGGCACCGGGGCGGCUUAGCUCGCAUGGCACCGGUGAAUGACUCCC
rnacentral:rRNA from 1 species